rnacentral:rRNA from 1 species
UACAGAGGUCUCAAGCGUUGUUCGGAUUCAUUGGGCGUAAAGGGUGCGUAGGCGGCGCGGUAAGUCGGGUGUGAAAUCUGGAGCUUAACUCCGAAACUGCAUUCGAUACUGCCGUGCUUGAGGACUGGAGAGGAGACUGGAAUUUACGGUGUAGCGGUGAAAUGCGUAGAUAUCGUAAGGAAGACCAGUGGCGAAGGCGGGUCUCUGGACAGUUCCUGACGCUGAGGCACGAAGGCCAGGGGGAGCAAAACAGGGAU